rnacentral:tRNA from 1 species
GUUAAUGUAGCUUAAUAAUAUA